UAAAUCACGAUUGGUAAUAUCCAGGAAGGC
rnacentral:piRNA from 1 species